UACGUAGGGUGCAAGCGUUAAUCGGAAUUACUGGGCGUAAAGCGUGCGCAGGCGGUUAUGUAAGACAGAUGUGAAAUCCCCGGGCUCAACCUGGGAACUGCAUUUGUGACUGCAUAGCUAGAGUACGGUAGAGGGGGAUGGAAUUCCGCGUGUAGCAGUGAAAUGCGUAAAUAUGCGGAGGAACACCGAUGGCGAAGGCAGCCCCCUGGGUCGACACUGACGCUCAGGCACGAAAGCGUGGGGAGCAAACAGG
rnacentral:rRNA from 1 species